rnacentral:lncRNA from 1 species
UUGGGCUGGCCCUGCUCAACAACUGCAAGUAUGGAACGUCAGUACGAGGCAACGUCCUCAGCCUCUCACUGCUGCGUGCACCCAAGGCUCCAGAUGUUACUGCUGACAUGGGGCGCCAUGAAUUCACUUAUGCCUUGAUGCCACACAAGGGUAUGUACCAGGGAAGCAUGGCCCAACCUCUGCCCUUUCCUGAGGUAAGGGGUAAACCAAGGCAUAGGGUAAAUGGAGGCAGCCCAGCCCCGUAUCUCCUCCAGAGGCACUGUGGGGAGCUCCCAUGAUCCAAUGUGUUUCUUUCUGGUCAUACUCAGGUUCUUUCCAAGAAGCUGGUGUUAUCCAGGCUGCCUACAACCUCAACUUUCCCCUCUUGGCACUGCCAGCUCCAGGCCCAGCCCCUGAUACCACCUGGAGCGCCUUUUCCGUGUCUUCACCAGCAGUCGUGUUGGAGACCAUCAAGCAGGCCGAGAAGAGCCAUCAGCACCGCACACUGGUUCUAAGGCUGUAUGAGGCUCAUGGCAGCCAUGUGGACUGCUGGCUACACACAUCAUUGCCUGUUCAGGAGGCCACCCUUUGUGACCUCCUGGAGCAGCGAGACCCUACCGGUCACCUGUCCCUUCAGGACAACCGCCUGAAGCUCACCUUUUCUCCCUUUCAAGUGAGGUCCUUAUUGCUCGUGCUUCAGCCUCCAGCAAACUGAGUCUCGGCUGUGGAAAGCUUUGGGGGCUCCUCGUCUCCACCUCCCAAGUCUGAAGCAUCUUGUGCAAUAAAUGCUUAGAUCAGC